AUAAAAAAAAAAUAAGUAAUAUCGUAAAAGAGAUGAUAGAUAUGAGAAAAAUAGCAUGAAGUGUAACAAAAUGACAAGUGACGUAUAGAGAAAAACUAAAAAAAUAAAAAAUAAUAUAGGAUUUGUACCUUUUGCGUAUGACAUAUAUAUGCAUGUACCUUAUAUUUUGAACUUCUUGGCAUAUUGAAGCUCGAAAUAACAUGUUAAGAAAAAAAAUGUUUUAGCAAUAUUUUGAUUUGGAAAGUGACAAUAACAAAUAUAUUUUCCCAUGGAGGGGGUGAGUUAUAAAAUAGGCUUAGCUAUCGAGACUUAUCCUAUAGUUAUAUUUAUUUUGUUAAUAGAAUAUAUGGGCCUACCUCCCUAUUUAUUUUUUCUAAAAAAAAAAUAUUUCUAAACGGUAAUAACUCUAGCCUUAUGUAUUUCUAAAGAAAACUAGUUUCAAAUUCAUUUUGGGAGUUUUUAAAAAAAAAAGAGUUUUCCUUGACAUAAGGUCCUAAGUGAGGGUCGAUAAGUAAAGCUAUUAAAUAUUUUGGUCCGUUAUUUUGAGAGGGUGAUUAUUUUAUCCUUAUGUAUUUCUAAAGUUAAUUAUUUUAGCUUUUAUAACUAAUCUCAAAUUUAGUUAGAAAUCCCGAUUUAUGAGUUUUAUUUUUUCCUACUUAAACACCUAAAUGAAUAUUACUUCACCCUUUUGAACUUUAUUUGGACAUCUUUUAAAACUAUAAGCCCUUCUUUUCAACUUAAGAAGCCUAAAAGAACGUUAUAAGUAAAAAUGCUAACCCAUUUUUUAAGAAAAUAUCUUUUGUAACAUUUGUUCUAAAUGUGUCUCAACUAAAUUCAUAGACAAAUAAUAUCAGUUCACACAAAAUAAGCUUCAAAAUAAAAGACAAACAAUAUAUCAAAACUUGUAAGUAAAGGUUAGCCAAUAUAUCCAAACAAUAUAAUUAAGACUCGAAAAGAGGAAGGCUAAGAAAUAUUGGAUUCCUAAUUUGCGAGACUCCAAGCAUUGCGAUGAUCCUAAUUUGCUGUUGGCCUAAUAUCUUAGGCCAAUAACGAGUUCCAAAGUAGAAACUCCAACUCUCCGGUUGCACAUGAAACAUAAGAAGAGGAAAAGAAUUAGAAAGACUCAAUAUUGAGGCAGAGGAUCAAUCAAACAAAGUAUGUGAACUUGA
rnacentral:lncRNA from 1 species